GUGUCAUAUAAACUGGAAAAUCAUUAUAACUAGAAAAAUUUCUUCAACAGAAGUGUCUUUGGACUUCUCCUGUGACAUGAGGACAGACUCAAAAGACACAAAAUCACAAAGUCAGAUACUGAAAAACUUCAGUGAAAAUGAACAUCUUUGAUAUCUCAUAAACACAUGAUACGAAUGAAUGAAGCAAGGCAAUUACUGAAGUGCUUCCUGAAUAUGUUGAUGCCUUUUGAGGAUACUUGACCAAUGAGAUGGUUGAAAGUGUUUGCUACAGUUACUGCUUGUGAAAGACAACUAGAAAUAGAAUUUGCCAUGAAAUUUAAAACUUCACAAACCUCACGGUGCUUCUUUUGAAGAAAAAUGUAGAGUUGGUAGUCGGUAUGAAAUUCUGAUGUGAACUCUUCCUUAGAACUUUACAGGAUAAGAGGAAAUGUGUGAAAUGGAGAUUGAACAAUCUUGUCUUGAAGCAGAAGACUCAAAUGGAAGCUCCUGGCAUUCCUCAA
rnacentral:lncRNA from 1 species